CUCGCUCCGGCCCUUCCUCCGACUGUGCGGCUGGCCCUGUGGCCGCGGCUCGGUGUCUGCCGCUCCUGCCCGGGCCCCUGCACACGCGUCCUCCCCUCGGCGGGGAGGCCGGCUAGGGGCAGGCGGGCAGCGAUGCCUGCGUCGGCCACAGCUGCCUGGCACUGCCCUCCUUUGUGCCUGCCUCCUCUGCCAGCCUCCGCUCCAACCUCCCCCCCCAACCCCGCAACGAGGCCUGCUCCUGGGCCCGGCCGCAGGGCCCGUUGCCCACAGAGCGCCCACCCUGCGCCCACCCGGGGUGCCCUCACCUUCUGGGCCCCUGGCUCCUGGCCUCGGGUCCUGCUGGUGCCCAGGUCGCCCGGCCCCGUCCUCCGUGCUCCGCGUUUGCCCCACCCUGCUGCCCGAGCUCGGCGGCGAGCCUGGCACGGUGCCAGGCUGCCUGGGAGCCCAGCCCGGGCAGGGCGAACUUUCCAGCGAGGGUUGGUCUCAAACUCCUGGGCUCAUGCAAUCUUCCUGCCUCGGCCUCCCAAUGUGCUGGAAUUACAGGUAUGAGCUACCGCGCUCAGCCCAAACCCAGGGCUCUUAACCACCCUACUAUGUACUGUGCUGGCCCCCGGUCAAGGGAGAGAACUCACGUCAGGCAAAAAUGUUUUACAGAGAGGCAGCUAAGUCUUUUCCACAGUGGAUGACACAGUCCCCCUCACAAACCACCCCACAGAUCCAACCCCAAGGAACUCUGCUUCUACGUGUGCCCUUGGGGCAAGGGAUGCAAAGCACCAGGCGAUGGAGCUCAGAGGAUGGCACUCUUCCAGAGAGCUGUGUGUCUCUGGGAAAGCUAACACACCUCUCUGAGCCUGUUGCUACAGCUUUACCAUCAGCGAUGUGACUGCAAGCCUUCUCAGCUGCCUGUCAGCAGAUGCACAGGCCUGUGCACAGAGCUCUGCGGAGACCACGCCGACAUCGCCGCACACCCACCCUCCUGCUCAUGGGACAGACCAUUCACACCUGCUUCACCACCAGCCACAGGCUUGUCGGAAGGAGCAGACUCUUCUCCACGGACAAGCCACUGCCCCUUUGAGGGCCUCAGCUUCCUUACCCUAUGAGAUGAGGAAACAGAUCUUCACUUGCCACAGGACUUGGGGGGAUGAAAAGGUAACCUCCGUAAAGCUGCCCCUGGUGUGGGGAAGCCACCCCAUAGAUGACAUUGCCCGCCCUCCCCCUAGGCCCAGAGCUCUACAGAGUCCUCAAGCUGGUGUCCCUCCAGGCUAAAACACUUCCACCCCCUGGGCAGUGCACUACAGGGUGGUGGGGAAGGGGCCAUCUGUGGAAGAAACACAGGGCCUGGCCUGGGGUCCUGGGCAAGACCUCUGUGACCUCAGUUUCCCCAGAUCCCUCCAGGUGUGACCUUGUAGAUGGCCUCUAUUCUGGAUUCACAGCUGCUGAGGAGGAGGAAGAGGACACUGAAGGCAUUCCUUCAGUCCCCUGGGGAGGUUCAGAUGCUCAGACUCCCUGAUACCACCUUUCCUGGGCAGAAUAAAGUCCCCAAGAUGUCCAAGCCCUAAUCCCUGGAGCCUGGGAAAGUGUUACCUCCCAGACCAAAGGGACUUUGUAGGUGUGUGAUUGAGUUGAAGAUCUGCAGUGAGAGGGUAGCCUGGAUUAGCCACGUGUGCCCAAAAGCAGAGACUCCUUCCCAGCCGUGGUCAGAGACAGAACAAGGGGACGCUGCUGGCUUUAAAGACGGAAGAAGGGACGAGGAGCCAAGGAGUGCAAGUGCCGCCAGAGGCCAGAAAAGGCAAGGGAUGGAUUUUUCCCCUGGAGUUCCAGGAGGAACCAGCCCUGCCAACACCUGGAUUUUAGUUCUGGGACCCCACCUCAGACAUCUGACCCCCUUGACUGUAAGGUAAUAAAUGUGCGUUGCUUAAGCCACUGAGUCAGCCAUAAGUUGUUACAUGGCUGCCACAGGAAACUAACAGGCCCUCCCCUCUGGCCCCAACAUGCCCAGCUGCCUGUGAAGGGGAAGAAGGAUGGCACAAGGCACGGCCCUCAUCGAUGUGUUCACACACCUUGCUCCCCUACUGAGCUGGCCCUGGGGCUGCAGACCUGAUCCCUGCUCUCAGGAGCCUUCGCCAGCUGAGAGACGCCCGCAGAGCCUCCCCUCCACUGCGGAGGCUCGAACCUUCCCUCCUGCUGCUGCUGCCCCAUCCUCUCCUCUUCCUCCUGCUGCUGUUUGUUGAGUGCUCCCUGUGAGUAGGCACCAGGCUAGUGUCCUCCUCCCAACCCCAGCCUCAUAGGCUCAGCGGUCAGGCCACCCGAGCAGUCACAUUGUAGACCCCUGAAUCCUGCCCAUGGUUUGGCAGGACAAAGGGCCUUUUCUGCUUCAGAGUCACAAAUGUGUCCUCCUCACAAUAAGGGUGGCAUGGAGGUCCCUGGGCCAGUGCCUCAGCCUAUUGAGCCUGGGGUCCUUGUCUGUACAGGGGGAUGAAGGUAGCACCUCACAGAUGGCGAUAAACCCAGCCAGUGCAGGGCAGGCAGUCAGCGCUCCAAACUCGCUUCAAGUCUUUGCCUAUGCUGCCAAUCAAGUCAGCUGUGGGAAGAGUCAGGUUUUUCUCUUGAAAGUCAGGGCCGGGCACGGUGGCUCAUGCCUGUAAUCCCAGCACUUUGGGAGGCUGAGGUGGGUAGAUCACAAGGUCAGGAGACCGAGACCAUCCUGGCUAACACAGUGAAACCCUGUCUCUACUAAAAAUACAAAAAAUUAGCCGGGCAUGGUGGCACGCACCUGUAGUCCCACCUACUUGGGAGGCUGAGGCAGGAGAAUCACUUGAACCUGGGAGGCAGAGGUUUGCAGUGAACCGAGAUCACGCCACUGCACUCCAGCCCUGGACGACAGUGAGACUCUAUCUCAAAAAAAAAAAAAAAAAAAAAGUCAGAUGCAAUGCCAGGGCUGUGGUGUGGGACUGUCACUGCAUGAGGCAUGGGGGCUGAGGUACUUGGCCAAGGGGGUUUUUCAGAGACCACCCCAAGAGUCUUCUGGAGCCAAAAUAUCACCCCUAAUGACUUAACUGGGAGCCCCACCACUAAAGCAGGGUUUCAUCAUGCUAGGAAGUAAUCAGAAAAGUGCAGACAAAUGUUCCUGGAAGUGUUGCCUACAAUGGGGAAAACUGGAAAUAACUGGGAAGAACCCAAGUGCCUGAUAAUAAGGGGUUAGUUAAGGACCUCUGUCCAGUGGAAUAUGCUAAAUAGUCAUGAAAGUUCAUUUGCAAGACAGUAUCUUCUGACUUAGGAAAAUAUUGUGAUAAAAUAUUAAUGAAACAAGCAGAAGAUAAAAUGAUACACCUAAUAAGAUGCUAAUUUUGCUUAAAAUAUGUUUUGACAGACUAGGUGUGGUGGCUCACACCUGUAACCCCAGCACUGUGGAAAGCUGAGGUGGGUGGGUCACCUGAGGUCAGGAGCUCGAGACCAGCCUGGCCAACAUAGUGAAACCCCAUCUCUACUAAAAAUACAAGUUAGCUGGGGGUGGUGGUAGGCGCCUGUAGUCCCAGCCACUUGGGAGGCUGAGCCAGGAGAAUCGCUUGGAGCCAGGUGAAUCGCUUGAACCCAGGAAGCAGAGGUUGCAGUGAGCCGAGACUGCACCACUGCACUCCAGUCUGGGCGACACAACGAGACUCCAUCUCAAAAAAAAAAAAAAAAAAGUUUUGACAGAAGCUGGGUGAGGCCUUCCCAGUGGCUAUCUCUGAGUGUGCUUUCAUAGGUGAUUGACAAAUGUUUUUCUUUUCUGAGGACUCAAAGUGUUCUAAAAUGAGCAUGGAACAUCAAUGAUGGCAUUAAAGAAAAAAAAAAAGAAUGGCAAA